rnacentral:rRNA from 1 species
AUGAAUUUGUUGUGCUGGAAUUCUCGCGGGAUUGGCAAUGCCCCCACAAUUCAAGAGCUUCGCAAACUCACACAAAAGUUUGCCCCUAGAGUACUUUGCAUCGUCAAAACCCAAAUUAGUGGUGAUAGAGCUGAAAAAUUAAAGAGUACUCUAGGUUUUGAUAAUUCUUUUGCUGUUGAUUCCUCCGGUGGGAGCGGAUGUCUGGCUAUAUAUGUUUUGGCAUAA